AGGCGUCCAUAAAAGUAGAUUCUGGUAUAAGUUGGUUAAUACAAUCAUUAGGAUGAACUUGUUUGGGGUUUUCAACUUUGUUUGGCAUCAUUCUAGCUUAAUUGGCAUCAAUAUUUCAAAUUUAGAUGUAUUUCUUAACAAUUAAGCAACAUUUAGCUAUUACUUUUAGCAGUAAUAACAAUAAUAAUAAAAUGUUCUUAAAUUUUAAUUAUACAUGUUUUUGUAGUUAUUAGUGUAUAUAUAUGCUUUAUAUGUAAGAAAUCUGUAUAUUCCACAUAUUCUCAAAAAAAAAAAAAUUUGUCAGCUACCCAUUUAUCCAAAUAUUAUUUUGGGAUUCAAUUAUUAUAAUCUGGUGUCUCUCUUCUUUUCCUUUUUUUUCUAGUUUUUAAGUCUACGAGGUUUUUACGACGAUUUCUGUUACGAGGUGUUUACGACGAAAUC
rnacentral:lncRNA from 1 species